AUUGAACGCUGGCGGCAGGCUUAACACAUGCAAGUCGAGCGAGCGGCGGACGGGUGAGUAAGUUCUGGAAAACGGACUGAUGGAGGGGGAUAACUACUGGAAACGGUAGCUAAUACCGCAUACCAUCGGAUGUCCCCAGAUGGGAUUGGCUAGUAGGUGGGUUAAUGGCUCACAUAGGCGACGAUCCCUAGCUGGUCUGAGAGGAUGACCAGCCAGACUGGAACUGAGACACGGUCCAGACUCCUACGGGAGGCAGCAGUGGGGAAUAUUGCACAAUGGGCGCAAGCCUGAUGCAGCCAUGCCGCGUGUAUGAAGAAGGCCUUAGGGUUGUAAAGUACUUUCAGCGGGGAGGCGUUACCCGCAGAAGAAGCACCGGCUAACUCCGUGCCAGCCGCCGCGGUAAUUC
rnacentral:rRNA from 1 species